GGAGCCAGGGGCCGGCGUGCUAUACAUGCAGUCGAGCGGACAGAUGGGAGCUUGCUCCCUGAUGUUAGCGGCGGACGGGUGAGUAACACGUGGGUAACCUGCCUGUAAGACUGGGAUAACUCCGGGAAACCGGGGCUAAUACCGGAUGGUUGUUUGAACCGCAUGGUUCAAACAUAAAAGGUGGCUUCGGCUACCACUUACAGAUGGACCCGCGGCGCAUUAGCUAGUUGGUGAGGUAACGGCUCACCAAGGCAACGAUGCGUAGCCGACCUGAGAGGGUGAUCGGCCACACUGGGACUGAGACACGGCCCAGACUCCUACGGGAGGCAGCAGUAGGGAAUCUUCCGCAAUGGACGAAAGUCUGACGGAGCAACGCCGCGUGAGUGAUGAAGGUUUUCGGAUCGUAAAGCUCUGUUGUUAGGGAAGAACAAGUACCGUUCGAAUAGGGCGGUACCUUGACGGUACCUAACCAGAAAGCCACGGCUAACUACGUGCCAGCAGCCGCGGUAAUACGUAGGUGGCAAGCGUUGUCCGGAAUUAUUGGGCGUAAAGGGCUCGCAGGCGGUUUCUUAAGUCUGAUGUGAAAGCCCCCGGCUCAACCGGGGAGGGUCAUUGGAAACUGGGGAACUUGAGUGCAGAAGAGGAGAGUGGAAUUCCACGUGUAGCGGUGAAAUGCGUAGAGAUGUGGAGGAACACCAGUGGCGAAGGCGACUCUCUGGUCUGUAACUGACGCUGAGGAGCGAAAGCGUGGGGAGCGAACAGGAUUAGAUACCCUGGUAGUCCACGCCGUAAACGAUGAGUGC
rnacentral:rRNA from 1 species